UACGUAGGGCGCAAGCGUUGUCCGGAAUUAUUGGGCGUAAAGAGCUCGUAGGCGGUCUGUCGCGUCUGUUGUGAAAACUCGAGGCUCAACCUCGGGCUUGCAGUGGAUACGGGCAGACUAGAGUGCGGUAGGGGAGACUGGAAUUCCUGGUGUAGCGGUGGAAUGCGCAGAUAUCAGGAGGAACACCGGUGGCGAAGGCGGGUCUCUGGGCAGUAACUGACGCUGAGGAGCGAAAGCGUGGGGAGCGAACAGG
rnacentral:rRNA from 1 species